GACCUCUAAUCGGAAAAGACUACCCGCCGAGUUUAA
rnacentral:rRNA from 19 species